GAAGUUGGUUUGGACCACAAUAGUCCUACCCAAAAAAUUUACACCAGGAACCAUGCUUCCAAUCCUGAAAGAACUGCAAGAUCGUCUAGCAGCUAAGCUGUCAUAAUUCACAGGAAGAAAAUGAAACCCUAACUAGAACAGAAGUUAAAUAAAUUGAAGAAGAAAAAAUCAAAAGGGAAAAAUAAGAAAAAUGACUUCCAAAAUUGUGAAACUUUCAAAAACCACCAAGGCAGCAUCUGUGUCAGCAACCUCUGAUCAUACAGAGUUUCUCAAAACAGAAAUUUCUAAGCCAAGAAUAACAAGUACACUGCCAAAGCCAAUUUUUAACAGUGAAGGCUGCCUGGUUUGCAGCAAAUUUGGUUUUGGAGAACUAAUUACUCCUUUACCCAUUCUGAAAAAGACCUCUUUCGAUCCAAAAGCAGCAAUGAUUAAAAUAAAACAAACGUCAAAGAAAAAGUGAAAAUCUUGGAAGGCAAAGGUGAAGUUGAGAAGGCAAGAAGCAUUGAAGGGAAACAGGCAUGGGAAGGUUCUCUGCAAAGAGCUGAAGGUGUUAGGGUAAAUGACGAUGUGAAUUGCUUGCUAAAUAAAUUUAAAAACGCGAUAAAACCAAAUCACAAAGUAAAAAUAAGUGGACCAAUGCAUUGAAGAACAGAAAAGAAGAAAAGCUAACAUUAAGAAACAUGAAAAGAAAGAACCCAAACUAAUGAAAUAAGGCCAAUUUAUCGUAUUAAUGAGCGAUACUGACUCUUGGAUGAGUUAACUCGUGUUCUAUUAUGUCCAAAACGUGUUAUAGUUUUGUAUUAAAAUACACUGGCAUGCUUUCCAUGUUCGUGGA